UGCCAUCCCCGGGGGAGCGCUCAUGCGCGCUUGAGAGGGAAGCAGCAGCUUCCGACCCGCUGAACCUGAUCCGGCUGACACCGGCGUAGGGAGGGAGCGGUCCUGACGC
rnacentral:ncRNA from 2 species